ensembl:lncRNA
CUCUCUAAGUGCCAUAACCUGACCCAUAGGUACCAUCAUGUCUUAAAUUGAGUAAGGCACUGAGAGAUCUACAUGGCUUGGCAGCUGUUCCUUCUGUCUCUCCAACUCAACCCACCUUACUGAGUUGCUCCUGUUUCUACUUCUGUUAGUGAAUGAGGGAUCAGUACUUUGCCCCCACAGUUUCUUCAGGAGUACCUUGUCCUAAAACAAAACCAAAUCUGGAAGGAGUAGAAUUUUCUGCUGGGACUUGGUAACAUUUCAUGGACAAGGAGGAUGUGACUCAUGCUGCUCAUGACUGCUGGAACCUAUAACCUCCUUUUCUCUUGGACUGAUACAAUGAUCUUCACUUUGAAAGAAGAAACAGAGACAUUUUUAACAGCAGAGAGACUUCACAAGUACUGGGAUGUUGAAAACCCAUCUCUGGCCCACCAGUGAAAAUAAUGACUCCUGCUAUUUUGGGUUCUGUGGAGCUAAGAUGAAGUAUCAAAAAAAGAUUCCGAUGUUUUCUGAUACCAUCGUGCUCCUUGGCAUAGGAGGGAUGAAUGGAACAGAAGCUCACAUGUGGAAGAUGACUGAUUUUUGUAGCAUUGCAGGCAGGAGCUGCCAGCAGGGAAGCUAAUACAUGAGGGGCUGAGGAGUGAGUGCUUGAGGAGGAAACCAUCUAGAUCUCUUAGACAGCUUAUUCCUCACUGCGCCCCCACAGAACUUGACCACACCACUCAAGGAUGGACUCUAUAACGUUUCUUUGCAUAAGCCAUAAGUACUUUUCUUCUGGACUCUGGACCUGAUGGUUUGCAGUCACAGUGUUGGAUGGACAGUUACUUGCUGCAGGAUCUUCCAGGAUUAAAAUCACAUCUUACAAGGCUAAGAACUCCAAAGGCUAUGGCGAGGAACUGGUAGCUUUAUCUCAAUGUAGACUGCGAUGGCUUUGUGUGCCUUUGAAAUUGCCACGCUCUUCAAAGAAAAAGGAAGUGCUUUAAGUGUUUUUCCUUCUCCUUCAGCCAGGAGCCGCGUUUUGGAAUGAACUCAAGUUUGAGUAAAGGGAGUGUUCAAAAUUUUAAAAUGUUGUGAUAAAUACUGCAUGACAUCGGUGUAAAACAGGUGCCCGCUGUACACAGGACUGUGCUUUGCUUUGUGUCAGAUCUCUUGAACAUCAGAAGUUUCAGAUCGUUCUGGAAUCGGUUUUAUAAAUGAGGGCUGGACGACUCAAAAGUGCAAAGCAUAAUGGCAAUAGAAAACUGCAUCUCAGGAGCUGAACUUACGUCUUUUUUCUUUCUCACCCCCUCAUUUUUAUCUACAUUUAUCAUUAUUACCUGCAUAGAGCAAUAACGUUUUGAAGAAAUGCCUGAUUUUUGAUGCCUCAGUUAUUUGAUGUCUUUUUUCAAGACAUUUUACAUUUCAGAGAGUGAGUCAGACACUUUAAACAUCCAGACUGGCUGCUUAUACCUUUUCUGAGCUGUAUUUUUUGUCUCUGGAUACAAAGUAAAUUCCUUUAAUGGAUUUAUUAUCAAGAAGAUUCAAAAAAGCAUUAGCUUCACUCUUCUACUCUCUUGACUGCAGUUUAGCAUCUCACUCUGUGGAGGGUUUGAAAGGCAUGGAAAAUAUAAAAGGACUCUGUGCCACAAUUAGGAAACGUGGAUUUCUCCCUCGCAGAAACUUCUGCUGUGGACUCUUCUCCAUCUUGUGUCUGAUGCAAAGGCUUAUGCCUGCCCUGUGAGCUACUGCUGGAGGAUUAAGGGAGGACUGAGAUCCCCCAUUGACACCUUUAGAGCUUGAGACCAGUGAACUCUUCCUGUCUUUCAUAAACUAUGCUCUGUGUGACUUCUGAAGGUGCUCUGGAUACAAAUUGAAACUGAGCUAAUUUGGAUUACCAUUACUGCAGCGUCUAUUAGACAGCAGGCGACGCAGUCUCUGCUAUUCAAAGGCGAAGUGCUACGCCUCAGUGUCUCCCCUCAAAUCACCUCUGUAGACCAAAGCUACACAUCUGUCCUUCUGCCAAGUCUACGAAGCUCAUAGUUUCAGAAAACCGAUGCGCUCCCAUCCACUGAAAGGAAAACUGUGAGCUAAUAUCCUGUCUUCAUGCUACAAGAAUUUGUAGAUGAAAAAAGAUGCACCCCUUAUCUAUAAAAUGAUUGUUUGUUCUACAGUAUUUAUGACACCUCUCCAUUGCUAUCUCUUCCUAGGUUAUGGUAAACCAAGAUGAUGCUUUAUAUUUCUGCAUCAGUCUAGCCAUGGGAAAUUAGAUUUAGUAAACAGAGAAUCUUAAUAAUCUUAAUGUCCUUCUCAAAGAGAAAUGAAUCAAAUUAUCAUAAUGAUUAAAUUACAGUUUUGUUGUUUCGUAAAAGCACAACAAUAAAUAAGUGGGGACAUUGCCAAUACUUCAGACUCCACUGAAGAUUCGCUGGCAUGCCCAUGAGUGCCUUGGCAAACUGCAGCCAUUGUCCUCUUAUCAAAAAGAAAUAUCUAUACUUUUGCACCAUAGCAAACAUACCAUGCAAUAUUAACUUCAUGCUAUAUCCACAUGAUUCAUUUAAAAGCAGUUAAACAACAAACCAAAGCAAUGUUUUUGGGUCCAGGAUGUAGAGCACCUCAUCUACAUGAGAGGAAUGAUGUGAAUUUGCAGCCCC